rnacentral:rRNA from 1 species
UACGUAGGGUGCGAGCGUUGUCCGGAAUUACUGGGCGUAAAGAGCUCGUAGGCGGUUUGUCGCGUCUGCUGUGAAAACCUAAGGCUCAACCUUGGGCUUGCAGUGGGUACGGGCAGACUAGAGUGCGGUAGGGGUGACUGGAAUUCCUGGUGUAGCGGUGGAAUGCGCAGAUAUCAGGAGGAACACCGAUGGCGAAGGCAGGUCACUGGGCCGCAACUGACGCUGAGGAGCGAAAGCAUGGGGAGCGAACAGG